AACGCGAAGAACCUUACCUGGGCUUGAACCGCACAGGACCAUCUUUGGAAACAGAGACUUCCCGCAAGGGACCUGUGUAGAGGUGCUGCAUGGCUGUCGUCAGCUCGUGCCGUGAGGUGUUGGGUUAAGUCCCGCAACGAGCGCAACCCUUACUCGUAGUUGCCACCCGCAAGGGGGAACUCUACGAGGACUGCUCCGGAUAACGGAGAGGAAGGUGGGGAUGAGGUCAAGUCAGCAUGGCCUUUAUGUCCAGGGCUACACACGUGUUACAAUGCGCGCCACAAAGCGUCGCGAACCCGCGAGGGGGAGCUAAUCGCAAAAAAGCGCGCUCAGUUCGGAUUGCAGUCUGCAACUCGACUGCAUGAAGCCGGAAUCGCUAGUAAUGGCGCAUCAGAACGGCGCCGUGAAUACGUUCCCGGGCCUUGUACACACCGACGCAC
rnacentral:rRNA from 1 species